rnacentral:misc_RNA from 1 species
AACCUCAUGACCUUCUCUGGAACUCUUUUAACAAUAGUGACAUCCUUCGCAAGGUAAGAGAUGAACCAUUUAACAUCAAAGAUGUCGAAAAAAUCACUGUCAUCCUUCCAAAAUGAAUGAUGAUCCAACUCAGGUACGACUAAAGUGGCAUUAAGAAUCCGCGCUACAACUACAGCAUCAGUUAUUCCAGUUCUUUGUUGGUUGAGUCCUCCGCUAGUUGCAAUAAGUAGAUAUCGAUUUGAAGAUCGCACAUUCGUAGCAGAAGCAAAACGAGGGCCUCUCUCACUGCAUCCAUAGUAAGAAGUUGAAUACGUUGACUUCCAAAUAUCAAUUGGUGCAUCGCCA